rnacentral:rRNA from 1 species
GAUGAACGCUGGCGGCAUGCCUAACACAUGCAAGUCGAACGAAACCUUCGGGUCUAGUGGCGCACGGGUGCGUAACGCGUGGGAAUCUGCCCUUGGGUUCGGAACAACAGUUGGAAACGACUGCUAAUACCGGAUGAUGACUUCGGUCCAAAGAUUUAUCGCCCAGGGAUGAGCCCGCGUAGGAUUAGCUUGUUGGUGAGGUAAAAGCUCACCAAGGCGACGAUCCUUAGCUGGUCUGAGAGGAUGAUCAGCCACACUGGGACUGAGACACGGCCCAGACUCCUACGGGAGGCAGCAGUGGGGAAUAUUGGACAAUGGGCGAAAGCCUGAUCCAGCAAUGCCGCGUGAGUGAUGAAGGCCUUAGGGUUGUAAAGCUCUUUUACCCGGGAUGAUAAUGACAGUACCGGGAGAAUAAGCCCCGGCUAACUCCGUGCCAGCCGCCGCAGUAAUAC